rnacentral:rRNA from 1 species
GACGAACGCUGGCGGCGUGCCUAAUACAUGCAAGUCGAACGCUUCUUUCCUCCCGAGUGCUUGCACUCAAUUGGAAAGAGGAGUGGCGGACGGGUGAGUAACACGUGGGUAACCUACCCAUCAGAGGGGGAUAACACUUGGAAACAGGUGCUAAUACCGCAUAACAGUUUAUGCCGCAUGGCAUAGGAGUGAAAGGCGCUUUCGGGUGUCGCUGAUGGAUGGACCCGCGGUGCAUUAGCUAGUUGGUGAGGUAACGGCUCACCAAGGCCACGAUGCAUAGCCGACCUGAGAGGGUGAUCGGCCACACUGGGACUGAGACACGGCCCAGACUCCUACGGGAGGCAGCAGUAGGGAAUCUUCGGCAAUGGACGAAAGUCUGACCGAGCAACGCCGCGUGAGUGAAGAAGGUUUUCGGAUCGUAAAACUCUGUUGUUAGAGAAGAACAAGGACGUUAGUAACUGAACGUCCCCUGACGGUAUCUAACCAGAAAGACACGGCUAACUACGUG